ensembl:lncRNA
AAGGAGGUUGGUGGUGGAAGUUGGGGUUUGGACCUUGCUUUUGCUGGAGUAGUCAUUCAACAUUUGUUGAGUUUGGUAAUCAUUGCAUCUUCUCCUGGAUUGCUUCAUUUAACUCAUUUCCUACACAUGGAUGUGUCAGCAUUGGUUUGUUCCAAUCAUCUUCAUGUUGUUUCUCAUCUAGCAAAACAGAAGUUUGAUUUUAUUUUAUUGUAUGUGUAAAGCAUCUGUGAAAUGUUAUCCAUGACCUUAAUCACUCCUACAACCAAGUGAAUCACCAUUUCUUUCAACCAAUGCUUAAGACCUAUCCUAGUAAAUAAAAAAAAAUCUUUGUUUUUGUGCUAGUUCUGUAUUGGCCUUCUCUGAAAAGUCUGAAGUCCUGUAACUUUGAGUAAGCAAAGGAUUUUUAUCGUGUUUCUUAGAAUCUGUAUUCUAGAACUUUAUCAUAAACCCUUAUUGGGUCCUUUUCUGCUUAAUGGAAUAAUGUAAACUCAUAAGUAAGAUCAUUUUAAACUUUUUUUAUAUAGUCAGUCAUUUAGUUAGAAAAUGCUAUACAGAUGUAUGGCUUCAGCACUGAAUAAAGCAAAAAAAAAAUCUAACGGUAUUUUAUAAGCAGAAUGAACAGUACAUGAGUAUAUAGAAACACAGAAGUGAGUAUGAAUAUGUACUUUACAAGUGGCAUGGAUGCACGUGACAAAUACUUUCAUUCUCUGUGUGAUCUGAAACAAUCCUGAAGGCUGUAGUAAUAACACUAAACAAUGUUUAGAUUACCCCCAUGCUAAAACAUCCAGUAACAUUAAAAAAUACAUAUUAGUUACUUACGUAUAUAGUUCUGAAGUCUACGGUUGUGUUUAGUCUUGUUAGUUAUUCAAGAAUUAAAAAUAAAGAUACAGAAGUUUUUUAUUUCUUAAAAAGAUUUAAAAAAAAACUUGUAAGAACAAAACAAAACAGCACCUGCUGUAUCAGUGUAAAAAGUAAGAAACUUCCAUAUGGUUAAAAUAGUGAAAUUUCCAAAACU